rnacentral:rRNA from 1 species
UUGGAGGGCAAGUCUGGUGCCAGCAGCCGCGGUAAUUCCAGCUCCAAUAGCGUAUAUUAAAGUUGUUGCAGUUAAAAAGCUCGUAGUUGAAUUUCAGGCCUGCUGGACGGUCCGCCCUUCGGGUGAGUACUGUCUGUGGUCGGGUCCUACCUUCUGGCGAAGCGUCAUGGCCUUAACCGGCCGUGGCGGGGAACCAGGACUUUUACUGUGAAAAAAUUAGAGUGUUCAAAGCAGGCAAUCGCUUGGAUACAUUAGCAUGGAAUAAUGGAAUAGGGCAAUGGUUCUAUUUGUUGGUUUCUAGGACCGUUGUAAUGAUUAAUAGGGAUAGUUGGGGGCAUUAGUAUUCAAUUGUCAGAGGUGAAAUUCUUGGAUUUAUUGAAGACUAACUACUGCGAAAGCAUUCGCCAAGGAUGUUUUCAUUAAUCAAGAACGAAAGUUAGGGGAUCGAAGACGAUCAGAUACCGUCGUAGUCUUAACCAUAAACUAUGCCGACUAGGAAUCGGGCGAUGUUGACAAAAUGACGCGCUCGGCACCUCAUGGGAAACCAAAGUGUUUGGGUUC